UGCCCUUACUCAUUCAAACCAACAUUCCUUGGAGCGGAACAAAAUGAGUGAGAACUACACCCGUCGUCGUUCUCAUCGGUAACUGAGGUCC
rfam:Myotis davidii contig76238, whole genome shotgun sequence.